rnacentral:rRNA from 1 species
UACGUAGGGAGCAAGCGUUUGUCCGGAAUCAUUGGGCGUAAAGCGCGCGUAGGCGGCCCCGUAAGUCCGCUGUGAAAGUCAAAGGCUCAACCUUUGAAAGCCGGUGGAUACUGUGGGGCUAGAGUCCGGAAGAGGCGAGUGGAAUUCCUGGUGUAGCGGUGAAAUGCGCAGAUAUCAGGAGGAACACCGGUGGCGAAGGCGGGUCUCUGGGCCGAUACUGACGCUGAGGAGCGAAAGCGUGGGGAGCAAACAGG